ensembl:lncRNA
UCCUCAUUCUCUUACCUGGAUGUCCAGAGUGGCUCCCUAAUCAGACUUGCUUGACCUCAAGCCUCAGCCCCUCUGAACCCAGCCCACACGCUGCCCAGAGUCAUCCGGUCACCACUCAGACAGGGUCAGUCCUCCUCUCUGCUGGGCAAGCUCCAGUGGCACCUGCCACUAAGGUCUGCACGGCCUGGUUAAAGGCACCAGAACGAUCAUAAACUGGCCUCUGCCCACUUCCUGAGCAGCUAUCCACUGCUCCUGCUUCACGGAAUCCCCCAACAACUGUCAUCUACAGCCCUCCAUACAUAUCGUUCUGAGCAUUGCUUAACUGUCUCUUCAUCCUGCUGGUGAGGAAGGGAUUCCCGUCUUAGGUUAUGGGGAUGGCCGAGGACACUGACACUCGAUGAACGGGGUUGAGCUCGGCCCACGUGCACACCUGCCCUCCCCUUAAACUGUUAAGCACAGAUUCCAAGAGAGCCUGGGAUUCUAAAACACCAUUUGAGGUCAGCGUACAGGUAUCAGUUCACGUGGGCAAGAGCCGAACUCACCUCUGCCAUCACCCAGGUUUCCUGGGCUGAGCCAUGUGGGGUCAGAACCUCCAGGUACCUUCAGGUAGGAGACAAACACAGAGGCAAAGCUGCUUCUGUAAUCCUUGACCCCUGCUUAGAAGUCUCCCAGCACCUCACGACUCUGAGAAGCAGAGCCAGGAUUCAAACCCAGGUGCGCCCAGUUCCGGAGAUGGCACGCAGCUGGGCCAGGAGGAGAGUGGACUUGGUGCCCUGGCUGCCGUGGGAGCUCAUCGCCCACAGCAGAGGGGACAGCCAGCAGCCUUGGGCUCCAGUGGUCCAAAGACAAGCCUUCCUUGGUGUGUGCUAUUCUUAAAGUUUAUUUCCAACUUGCUUUUUAUUGUGGGAAAAUACACAUAAAAUUUACCUUCUUAACUACUUUUAAG